GCAGAUAUUUACAGGAGUGGCAAUGGCUUCAACGCCGGCGUCGUCGUUCCAGGCGUCUUCUUCAUCGCUUGCCACUCUGUCUAUGGUCAGGAGACCUCUCACCACCUCUUCCUUCAAUGGUGGAGUAGGAGCUCUGAAAGUUGAAGCGAUCAGGGUUGCUCCUUCCUAUAAGAGACAUAAUUUAGGCAACAAGGAGGUGCCCUUGGUGCCAAUAUGAACCUUUUUGGCCAAAUUGCUAGAGUCAUGGCAUCUUAUAAUCAAAACACAAUGUUCUUUAGGAAACUGGUUAUGCAUUUCCUUACACAAAUGUUACUGAGUGCAGUCAUAUGCAAAUGCAAUCAUAAGUUCCUUUGAAGAUCCUGAGAAAAUCUUGGAGCAAGCAGUUCUCGAAAUGAAUGAUGACUUGACGAAAAUGCGUCAGGCCACAGCACAACUCUUCAAAGAGGAGAGGAAGAUCUUGCACGUGAAGCUCUGAAGAGGCGUAAAUCUUUAGCGGCAAGU